rnacentral:lncRNA from 1 species
UUUCUUCUUGUUAAAUUGAUUUUUAGAAGGACUUUCUUAGCCGAUCUUGAGAGGGAUAAUUGACAGGUAGGGUAAGUCCCUCUUGGGUUUAGGAAUCCUGUCGGGGCGAGAUUGUUCUUCUUGCCCACAACUUCUUCUCCUACUAGGGCUCUAAAUUGAGCUCUUUUUUGGAAUCUUCUUUCCUUAACCACUUGACUUAACCAAAAAUGACUCAAAAAUCUCUAAGAUUGUAAGAGGAGAAAUUAGUGAGGAGAAGAACUCAUCACAUG